rnacentral:rRNA from 1 species
GGCGAACGGGUGAGUAACACGUGGGCAAUCUGCCCUUCACUCUGGGACAAGCCCUGGAAACGGGGUCUAAUACCGGAUAACACCCUCGCGGGCAUCUGCGAGGGUUGAAAGCUCCGGCGGUGAAGGAUGAGCCCGCGGCCUAUCAGCUUGUUGGUGAGGUAAUGGCUCACCAAGGCGACGACGGGUAGCCGGCCUGAGAGGGCGACCGGCCACACUGGGACUGAGACACGGCCCAGACUCCUACGGGAGGCAGCAGUGGGGAAUAUUGCACAAUGGGCGAAAGCCUGAUGCAGCGACGCCGCGUGAGGGAUGACGGCCUUCGGGUUGUAAACCUCUUUCAGCAGGGAAGAAGCGAGAGUGACGGUACCUGCAGAAGAAGCGCCGGCUAACUACGUGCCAGCAGCCGCGGUAAUACGUAGGGCGCAAGCGUUGUCCGGAUUUAUGGGCGUAAAAGCUCGUAGGCGGCUUGUCACGUCAAUUGUGAAACCCGAGGCUUAAC